GACGUAGGAUGCGAGCGUUGUCCGGAAUUAUUGGGCGUAAAGAGUUCGUAGGCGGUUGUAUAAGUCUGUUGUUAAAGAUCAGCGCUUAACGUUGGUAGGGCAAUGGAAACUGUAUGGCUAGAGUGUGUCAGAGGUCAAGGGAAUUCUCGGUGUAGCGGUGAAAUGCGUAGAUAUCGGGAGGAACACCAGUGGCGAAAGCGCUUGGCUGGGGCACAACUGACGCUGAGGAACGAAAGCCAGGGGAGCGAAAGGG
rnacentral:rRNA from 1 species